AUGACUAGGGAUAACCUUAGGAAGAGACACAUCAUCAAACCCCUUGAUUGUGUUUACUGCUUGAAACAAGAGUCUUGUUCUCACCUAUUUUUUGAAUGUAUAGUUGCUAAACAUCUCUGGGCCCACAUUGAGGAAUAUUUCUCUAGUCAGAUUGGCUCAUCCUUCCAAUCUGUCGCCAGAUUCUGGAUUGCUACCAAAAAGUGCUUAGUUUUAAACACUGUUAGCUCAGCUGUCCUUUGGUGCCUCUGAAAAUAUAGAAAUGCUAUGAUUUUCAGUAACACCUCCUGGAUUUCCAUUCCGUAGGUCUUGAGGUUGAUCAGGAACAUGGUGAGGAACUGGGCGAUUCUAUCCUCUGGAUCGGACAAGGACAAGUUGACGAGCUUCGUGGAAACCCUAACAAGAUCCCUCCAGAAACUGUUGGCGAUCACUUGUGGCUGA
rnacentral:rRNA from 1 species